rnacentral:rRNA from 1 species
CCUACGGGAGGCAGCAGUGAGGAAUAUUGGACAAUGGUCGAAAGACUGAUCCAGCCAUGCCGCGUGCAGGAAGACGGCCCUAUGGGUUGUAAACUGCUUUUGUUUGGGAAGAAACCUUUCUACGUGUAGAAAGCUGACGGUACCAUACGAAUAAGCACCGGCUAACUCCGUGCCAGCAGCCGCGGUAAUACGGAGGGUGCAAGCGUUAUCCGGAUUUAUUGGGUUUAAAGGGUCCGUAGGCGGACUUAUAAGUCAGUGGUGAAGUCCUGCAGCUCAACUGUAGAACUGCCAUUGAUACUGUAAGUCUUGAAUUCGGUUGAAGUGGGCGGAAUAUGGCAUGUAGCGGUGAAAUGCUUAGAUAUGCCAUAGAACACCGAUUGCGUAGGCAGCUCACUAAGCCUGGAUUGACGCUGAGGGACGAAAGCGUGGGUAGCGAACAGGAUUAGAUACCCUGGUAGUCCACGCCGUAAACGAUGAUUACUCGACAUUAGGCGAUACUACGUUAGUGUCAUAAGACGAAGACAUUAAGUUAAUACCACCGUACGGGUAGGUACGUUACGCGAAGAAGUAGAAACGUACGAAAGGAAAGUUAGUACGGCGUAGAAGACGUAGACCGACGGACGACGACGAGGGGAGGAGG